UCUCAAUACAUUACUGACGAAGUACCUCCAUUGUUAAAAAUGGGGAAUAGCUUAACCAAAUCUUCUAAUGUACAGUCUGAGUAAAUUUUAAGAUUCACAUAACUUCAGGUAAGGAUAUAGCUGUGUGAGUAGAAAGGAAAGGGAAUAGAUAUGAGAGUUGUUAUCAAGGGAUAAAUAGCAAGAUUAGGCAAUUGAUUGAAUAUGGAGGAAGAGAGAGAGGAAGGAAGGAAGGAAUAGAACCGUGUUUACAGACUAGCUUUACAAAAUGAUAAACUUUGUGCUACUGUUGUAAUUCUCCG
rnacentral:lncRNA from 1 species